rnacentral:rRNA from 1 species
UACAGAGGGUGCAAGCGUUGUUCGGAAUUAUUGGGCGUAAAGAGCUCGUAGGCGGUUGUCGCGUCUGCUGUGAAAUCUGGGGGCUCAACCCCCAGCCUGCAGUGGGUACGGGCAGACUAGAGUGGCGGUAGGGAGAUUGGAAUUGCUGGUGUAGCGGUGGAAUGCGCAGAUAUCAGGAGGAACACCGAUGGCGAAGGCAGAUCUCUGGGCCGUAACUGACGCUGAGGAGCGAAAGCAUGGGGAGCGAACAGG